CGUGGAUCGAUUCCGCCCACCCUUUUUUCUCUAGCCCAGAUCGAGAAGGACGCAUCCUGCGACACUACAGUAACGUCGGCGCCCUCCACGGCGUUCGCCGCGGACGAGACGAUACCGGCGCGGCGCUUCUUCAGGUUGUGGCAGCCAGCGGCCAUCGCCGGCACAGAGGCGCCGUGCGCCAUCCUGGUGGUGCCGGCCCACUGGGUGACCGAAUCUCCGGCCGUCAGCGUCAUCCGCGGCAACAACGACACCAUCUACAACUUCCCAAGUCCAUGUACCAGGUUCGUGAGUUCGCCCGUGCGCCCCUCUCGCUUCUAUGUACCAGAACCAUUGUAUGGAUUCAGCGUUCGAUUCCAAUAGCCGCGGAUUGCGUCGUUGUCUGGGUUUGGUUGCGAGUUGUUGAUCGUUGGGGAUUGGAUUGGAUGGCGCAAUACUACAGGGCCAUCAGCCAUCUACAAUGUCGGCGCCCUCAAUGGCGUCCGCCGUGACUUGCUGGUCUCCAUGCGCUUCAGUGCCGUCCAGCCAUGAUGUCUUAGGAGUGUGCGACGGCGGGGCACGACGGGCUUAUGUGUCCAAUUAAUGAUUCCUUCACCUAUUUCUGACAGCAUUAAGGUUGAGUUUUGUCAAGUCAUUUCUUUCAUAUAUGCAAUGGUUUGAGAGAAGGAAGUACGAGAUUAAUCUUUUGAUCUUUGCAAUAUACAUCUUUUAUACAGGGUCCCAGUGUCGAUGCUUUACAAAAUGAAAGAACUAUGUACAAAUUCCCUCUGAUGCUUAAUUGGUUACUUGUUUCUCUCAUUUUCCUUUGUAUUUUGAACAAGUAAAAUACUCUUGGGUCUAUGAGAAGAAUAUCAACUUCUAUUUAAGUUUCAGGUGGUGCCGCCGCCCUUUCUCUGCCUGCUACGGACUAGCCCCUCUGCGUCACCCUGCUGACUCCUUGCGUGCAACCGACGGGCUAGGAUACUAUUGUGAGAUGGUCUGAUACAUAAAAGACGGCCUCAAGCCCCUCUAAGGAAGCAUCCAGUCUCGCCGUUCUACCAAUUUCACCGGAAAAACGAUCUACUAACUUUGCCGGAGCGCCGACUGCCUGUGCUCCACCUGAGGUACGCCGAACAGCCAAGCCACGAGUAGCCUUGAAGUAGCAAGCUGUUAUGUUUGAAAAUUAAUUUAAAAAAACAUGUGUUCUGGCUUUAUUACUUUGCCAUGAUCUUUUACUGUGUGCCUGCAACCGUAGCGCCCAUCGGCAUUACCUUGCCAUAUACGGACAGUCUGCUGAGUAAUUCAGAGCAAGAAAGUUAUUUUACUGGAAAAAGUACAUCCAGUAUGAAACCCGGGAAAUUAAAUUGAAAUCUGUCUGCAACAGUUAGGAUUGUAGUAUACAAGUUUACAGAUGAAUAUAUCAAGUCUACUAUGAACUAAAAGAGAGCAGGUUUGACAAAAAACACAAUUCAGGGUCACACGCUUCAGGCUCACACUUGCAAAUGGUUGUAGAAGUGACCUACUACUUGAAAGUUAAUGAAGCUUUAUUACUUUUCUCCACAUUGGUAACUUCACUUUUCAGAAUAGAGGUGUAUCAUCCACUACUCAUGGGCAUACGUAUUCUUCCUUCUACUGAUGUUGCCCUGCCCAUUAAAGUGUCUUUUCUGAACAUUGCGGCCGUGCUCCAUGAAUCAGAUACUACUAUCGGCUAUUGUAGUGAUGUACUGUUCAUCUACUACGCCUACAAAAGCAUGAAGUGCAGAUCUUAUACUGAUUUGGUAAAGUUAAACCAUAAAAUGCUUGACCAAUAUCAUAAGCACGACUGUGAAUUCUAACAUGGAGUAGAGUUAAUAGGGUAUUUGAGGGAAAAUAAUCUUAAGAUUAGCAAGGUGACAAGUGUUGGGGAGUAUUAUCAGUGAACAUACAGUAGAUAGCUAGAUUAGUUGGUUGUGUCUUCCAUCCAUUUUUUUGUAAACCGCCAACAUAGGCUCACUCUGCACCAAGCAGAUGGUAGUUCUAGCUGAGGAGGAUACAAAAAGAAAAACAACCAAACAGAAUUAAGCACCAAGAAUUUUACCACAGUUUUAUUUGCUUUUACACAACAAGUUUAUCAUUUAGCAUUUCUCAUUCAUUCGCCCUUAAAAUGUAUCCUUGGAUUGUUGAACUUAUAGGCAUUAAAUUCAUGAUUGAAGGAGUGUCUCAUGGCUUAAUAGUCAUUUAGGCACGUGAAAUUUUUAGGAGUGAAGUCAGGAGAAUAGGGCCAUGGGGGCGUGGUCGGUGGUGCAGUGGAUCCCGGCCCUUGCCUGUGGGUGGCUCCGUUUUUAGAUGUGUUUUCGAGUUUUGUUAGGGUUUGUGUCUUGUUUAGGAAGGCGAGACGGCGGCGGCUCCCUGAAUAUGGAAUAAGGUUCUCCCCGCCUAGCCCCCGUCCCGGUGGUGCACCUAGCACCGUCGGUGGGCGUGUGGAGGUGUGUCUCCGGCGGAUCUGCUUGUCGUGGAUUUCCUUGGAUCUGUUUGUCGUUCGUCUACGUUCGUGUCUUCAGGUUGGAUCCUUCUGAUCUACGUAACUCUUUAUCGGCGGUGGUUGCUGUUCUGCUGCGAUGGUCCUAUGGGGGCUUAGCACGACGACUACUCGACUGUCUACUACAACAAGUUUUGCCCAGCUCCGGUUAGGGAGGGGCGAUGACGGCGGCGUACCUUCCGCUCGCUUCAGUGCUUGUAGUUGUCGCUAGGUGGAUGUAAAUUUUAUUAUUUCUGAUGUUUGUUGUACUGUCAUGAUUGAAGAUGAAUAGAUCAGAUGUUUUCUCGCUAAAAAGAGAAUCCAGAUAAUGAAGCAAAUAACUUGGUUAGAAGGUAAAUUCAUGAUCACCAAUGCCUAGCUAUUUUUUGAUCUUACUACUAUAAAGGAUGCAAGUGUAAUG